UGCAGCACCAGCGUGGCCGCCAGCGGUCGCCCCCUUGCGGGCCGCCAGCCCGCCAAGCUCCACACUACGAAGCCAUUGCCCGGCAGUCCCAGCAGCGCCGCCAGCAGCAGGAAGGCCGUGCCUGUGACCCGCGAGGCCUUCCAGCUCAGCAGCGUCUCGUUCCCCGGGGGUCGGUAACAGGCCAGCAUUCUGUGCCUACCGGGAGAUGGAAAAGGCCAUGGAGGGCAUUUAGGGGGUGGGGCAAAAGCCCGGGGUACCCCUCAUGCCAGGUGAGAAGGGACUGCGUUUCCUCCCACUUUCCUCUCUUCUAAGAGCCUUGACUGACUUCCUGACCUACCCUGGCCCCUACUCAAUCACUACUUCUUGGAACCCAAAUCCCCUGCUGUCAGUCAGCCGACCUCCCCAGUCCUGACUCCCAGGCUGCCACUACCUCCACCUCUACCCCUUUAGCUGGGCUUCUUCUCUGUCCAUCCCCAUUCCUUAUACCUUAGGGCAAAAUGAGUGGUGGGAAGUAAAGGUGCAUGCGCAGAUCUACUUACCCACCUGGGAGCUAGUAGGAUCAGGCCCACGAGGGGGCUGGAGAAGCUGAAAGGCACAGCAGCAGUGAGUGAGGUGCCUACUCCUGUCCUCUGCCAGUUAGAUUUGCAGUGUGAGACUAGGAAUAGGGAGGGACGAGGUGGAGUUCUUCUCAGGACUUUCCUGGGGCUCCUCCCGCACUCUACCCUUUCCCAUCACUAACAGGUCCAGGCAUGUGACAGGCUGCUUCCCUAGGAAACAGGACUAUCUGCAGGUAUACAGAUAAGGUUCCCUGAUCGUGUAGGUGAGUAGCGACACUACAAAAUCCUGGGUCCUGCAUCUGCCCUCAUCCUUCGGGCAGUUCUGGCCCCAGUUGUUGGGACAGUUGUCACCACAUGCUGAGGCUUCCCUGGCCUACACUCAGCAGAGAAGGUGACCCAAACUACUUGUUCCCCCAACUGCUCUAUUUUGACCUAUUUCCUGACUUCUAAUCCUGCUGAGCCCUCUUUUUCUUCAGCCUGCUACCUACUCCUCUUGAUGAGGUUUUGAGGUUAUGGGGGUGAUGUCCAGAGCCAACGGCCAAGAAAGAAUUCUUGAAGAUGUCCUUCGUACAAAAAGCUAGGAGUGCCUGAGGAAUAUCACACGUAUCCCACUUGGGGGCAGGGGAGUUGUUAGUUUGUGCUCUGCCUUUAGCUUGCCUUAUGCACCCACAUCACUCUCAUCUCUUACCUUAUGCUCUGUUCCAUUCUUUCUACUCCCAGGGCUCUCAAAGGGCUACCAAUGACAGCUUUCAGUCACAGUGCUGAGUUCUGGGGGAUGCAUUGGAGGUACAAGGGACUUAUCAGCUCUUUGAGGAAUCAUAACACACAACCACAAAGAGACCAUCCUACAGAGCUACGAGAUAAGAAGGUAGGAAAGGAUGCAUUGGUAGAGACAUACUGAAAAGAAGCCGCCUCUGGGUGAAGAGAUCAGGCAAAGCCUGGAAAUGCAGAAAUUUGAGGGGGACCUAGUACACUGAUAAAGUUGAGCUAAGGGGAAAGACCCCUGUCCAGUUACCAGCUAGAACUGGGCACUCCUUGGGAGCCAGGACACCAGUAUUGUCUCAGUUUGGGUUACUUCCAAAGCACAGCCUGAAUUAGCACGGGUACAGGUAAUUCUGCAUCUGGGAAGUCAGCUCAGGAAGUAGAAGUGAGGGAGCAGGGGAGGAGAGGGAAAAAGAGAGCCAAAUAAGUGUGUUAUUGAGUCUCUUCAGUAAGGAUUAGGAAGCUCUCAGAAUUACACAGAAUGCCUUCCAGAAAGACAGAAGACUGGGGCACUGAUGCCCAGCUUGCCUUCUUCACUGUUUGAGGGCUGUCCUAGAGGCAUUAUACACACUUGCAGCCUAUACGUGUCAGGAGGCUGAGUGGGCUGCCGCAGCCUCAAACACCUAGGCAGGAAAGCAGAGAUUGACACUCAUGUGAGGGGUUCAGUCUUAGUGAGAGUCUGAGCUGCCAUACAACUAUCCACAACUAUAGCUGAAAUCAGAGAUGGGACUCAGGGCACCCAAAGCCGGUCUUGAUGCCAUCAAAAGACAACCCCCUUCCCCUUCACAUCUCCUUCACACUGAUUCAGUGGCCAAAAGAGAAAGGUGAGAGAGAAAGUGACUAAUGUAGUGUAGCUGAAGUGAGCAGUUCUGGAGAUUGAAGCCAGAGAAAUGUUGAGCCGGCCCCUCCCCUAGACAGAAGAAGAAGCAGGAAAGCAGGAAGGCCAGGGUCCCAGACAGGAUCCUGGUGAUCCUGGAUCCAGGGAGCAGGAUCCAUCCUCUCCUCACACGCCACCCUGGCACACUGUCUCACCCUUCAUUUCCUCCAAGUUCUGCCCAUGAUUCCACCCGCAGCCUGGCUUCCCCUUUCCUAAUGCUGCAGUUUAUGACUUUCACAGUAGGUGGCAGCAAGUACAGUGCAAAUCACGUAUAAUGCAGCUUCUCUAGGGUUGGGAGCCAGGAACUAUUCCUAGAAAUUCUCUCCAUAGAAAGAAAAACACCAGAGACCACAUUCCAUCCUUACAUAGUUCCCAUUUAUCCUCAGCACACACUGCCAUCAGACAGACAGACACACACACACACACACACACACACACACACGCACACACGCACAAAAGCCUCAUGACUUUUGUGGGCAACUCUGGGCCUCAAUCUCUCUUCCACUAUCCCAUCUAGGCCCCUCCUUCUCUCCCUCCCCUUGGACUUUGCCCUUCUUACUGGCCAGGCAGGGGGGACCAGAGUCCGGGUUGACUCAUCUCCCACCUCACUGGAGCUGAGAUCCCAGCUGUGUAGCUGAAAACACCACCAUUUCAGCCCCAGCACAGCAGAGAACCACACAGCCCAGAACUCAGUGGGAGAGGCAACUCCCCUGCUCCUUCCCUCCACCAUGGAGUACCUCUCAGCCCUGAACCCCAGCGGCCUGCUCAGGUCAGUAUCCAGUAUGAGCUCUGAGUUUGGCAGGAAAGUCUGGACUUCACCUCCACCACCCCAGCGACCUUUCCGUGUCUGUGAUCACAAGCGAACCACUCGGAAAGGUCUGACAGCUGCCACCCGCCAGGAACUGCUAGACAAGGCACUGGAGGCCCUGCUGCUGAGUGGAAUGCUAACACUGGUGCUGGAGGAGGAUGGAACCGCCGUGGAGAGUGAGGACUUCUUCCAGCUUUUGGAGGAUGACACGUGCCUGAUGGUGCUGGAGUAUGGGCAGAGCUGGACCCCCAGCAGGAGUGGGGUGCUGUCAUACGGCCUGGGCCGGGAGAAGCCCAAGCACAGCAAGGACAUCGCCCGUAUCACCUUUGAUGUAUACAAGCAAAACCCUCGAGACCUCUUUGGCAGCCUCAAUAUCAAAGCCACAUUCUAUGGGCUCUACUCCAUGAGUUGUGACUUUCAAGGACUCGGCCCAAAGAAAGUACUCAGGGAGUUCCUCCGUUGGACCUCUGCACUGCUGCAAGGGCUGGGCCAUAUGUUGCUGGGAAUUUCCUCCAGCCUUCGCCAUUUAAUAGAAGGGGCCGAACAAUGGCAUUGGCAGCGGCAGGGUCGCCUUCAUCCCUACUGAGAAGGGGCUCCAAGCUGCUUUCUGCCCCUAGAUUCAUUCCAAGAGACACACUGUGAGGAUUGUGACAGCAUCAGCUUUGGAGAUCUGAAGACAGUGCAGAUUAGUCCCCUCACCAGCCACUCAGCCAUCUGGAGUGAGGGAAGUUUGGAAAGGUUAGAGAGAGGUGCAGGUACUCACCCAGCUCGGCAGCAAUUUCCUUCCGGGCCCCCAAGGCUGCUCCACUCCAGAUGGCA